rnacentral:rRNA from 1 species
GACGAACGCUGGCGGCGUGCCUAAUACAUGCAAGUAGAACGCUGAAGAGAGGGGCUUGCUCUUCUUGGAUGAGUUGCGAACGGGUGAGUAACGCGUAGGAAACCUGCCGUGUAGCGGGGGAUAACUAGUGGAAACGAUAGCUAAUACCGCAUAACAAUGGAUGACACAAGAAAUUUAUGAAAAAGGGGCAAUUGCUCCACUACAAGAUGGACCUGCGUUGUAUUAGCUAGUAGGUGAGGUAACGGCUCACCUAGGCGACGAUACAUAGCCGACCUGAGAGGGUGAUCGGCCACACUGGGACUGAGACACGGCCCAGACUCCUACGGGAGGCAGCAGUAGGGAAUCUUCGGCAAUGGGCGCAAGCCUGACCGAGCAACGCCGCGUGAGUGAAGAAGGUUUUCGGAUCGUAAAGCUCUGUUGUAAGUCAAGAACGAGUGUGAGAGUGGAAAGUUCACACUGUGACGGUAGCUUACCAGAAAGGGACGGCUAACUACGUG